AAGCCUGGGCAGCAGUGGGGCUGUAAUGGGGCUGCUGACUGGGACUGGCUUGUGGCCUGUGGCCAUAUUCACAGUCAUCUUUAUAUUACUGGUUGACCUGAUGUACCGGCGCCAGCGCUGGAAUUCUCGUUACCCACCUGGCCCUGUGCCACGGCCUCUGCUGGGUAACCUGCUCCAGGUGAACCUAGAUAACAUGCCAUACAGCUUGUACAAGCUUCACAAACGCUAUGGUGACAUGUUCAGCCUUCAGAUGGUCUGGAAGCUUGUAGUUGUGAUCAACGGACUAAAAGCAAUGCAGAAAGUGCUGGUGACCUAUGGAGACAACACUGGUGACCUCCCUGCAAUGCCCAUCUUUGAGUGCCUGGGUUUGAAACCCAAAUCCCAAGGUGUGGUCCUUGCACCAUACGGGCCGGAGUGGAGAGAGCAGAGGCGAUUCUCUGUGUCUACCAUGUGCAACUUCGGCCUGGGCAAGAAAUCUCUGGAGCAGUGGGUGACCAAGGAGGCCGCCACCUCUGUGAUGCCUUCACUGCCCAGGCUGGGCGGUCCAUCAAUCCCAACACCAUGCUGAACAAAGCGGUGUUCAAUGUGAUUGCAUCCCUCAUUUUUGCCCGUCACUUUGAAUAUGAAGACCCUUACCUCAUCAGGAUGCUGACAAUACUGGAAGAAAAUUUGUCAGAAGUUUCUAGCUUCAUUCCUGGGGUUCUUAAUGCAUUCCCGAUUCUCCUGCGCAUCCCAGGGCUGGCUGACAAGGUCUUCCAACGUCACAAGACCUUCGUGGCCAUAGUGGAUAACCUGUUGACUGAGAAUAAAACCACGUGGAACUCUUCCCAGCCACCCCGAAAUUUGACUGAUGCCUUCUUGGCAGAGAUAGAGAAGGCCAAGGGGAAUCCUGAGAGCAGCUUUAACAAUGAGAACCUGCGCAUGGUGGUCAUUGACUUGUUCACUGCAGGGAUGGUGACCACCUCAACCACACUGUCCUGGGCCCUGCUGCUCAUGAUCCUGCAUCCAGAUGUGCAGAGCAGAGUCCAAAAGGAAAUCGACGAGGUCGUAGGGCAGGUGUGGCGUCCUGAGAUGGCAGACCAGGCCCACAUGCCCUACACCAAUGCUGUCAUCCAUGAGAUACAGUGCUUUGGGGACAUUAUUCCAAUGAAUUUUCCACGCAUCACGAGUCAUGACAUUGAAGUGCAGGACUUCCUCAUCCCCAAGGGGACGACCUUCAUCCCCAACCUGACCUCCGUGCUGAAGGAUGAGACUGUCUGGGAGAAGCCCCUCCACUUCCAUCCUGAACACUUCCUGGAUGCCCGGGGCAACUUUGUGAAGCAUGAGGCCUUCAUGCCAUUCUCAGCAGGCCGCCGAGCAUGCCUGGGGGAGCCCCUGGCCCGCAUGGAGCUCUUCCUCUUCUUCACCUGCCUCCUGCAGCGCUUUAGCUUCUCGGUGCCUGCAGGACAGCCCCGGCCCAGUGACAGUGGCACUUUGGCUUUUCCAGUUGCUCCCUCCCCCUACCAGCUCUGUGCUGUGAUGAGGGAACAAGGACACUAA